GAUGAACGCUGGCGGCGUGCCUAAUACAUGCAAGUCGAGCGAACGGACGAGAAGCUUGCUUUUCUGAUGUUAGCGGCGGACGGGUGAGUAACACGUGGAUAACCUACCUAUAAGACUGGGAUAACUUCGGGAAACCGGAGCUAAUACCGGAUAAUAUUUUGAACCGCAUGGUUCAAAAGUGAAAGACGGUCUUGCUGUCACUUAUAGAUGGAUCCGCGCUGCAUUAGCUAGUUGGUAAGGUAACGGCUUACCAAGGCAACGAUGCAUAGCCGACCUGAGAGGGUGAUCGGCCACACUGGAACUGAGACACGGUCCAGACUCCUACGGGAGGCAGCAGUAGGGAAUCUUCCGCAAAGGGCGAAAGCCUGACGGAGCAACGCCGCGUGAGUGAUGAAGGUCUUCGGAUCGUAAAACUCUGUUAUUAGGGAAGAACAUAUGUGUAAGUAACUGUGCACGUCUUGACGGUACCUAAUCAGAAAGCCACGGCUAACUACGUG
rnacentral:rRNA from 1 species